AUUGAACGCUGGCGGCACGCCUAACACAUGCAAGUCGAGCGGCAGCGCGAUAUGUAGCAAUACAUAUUGGCGGCGAGCGGCGGACGGGUGAGGAACACGUAGGAACCUACCCUCGAGUGGGGGAUAACCAAGGGAAACUUUGGCUAAUACCGCAUGAUUUCGAGAGAGCAAAGCUGCCGCAAGGUGGCGCUCGAGGAGGGGCCUGCGUCCGAUUAGCUAGUUGGUGAGGUAAGAGCUAACCAAGGCGAUGAUCGGUAACUGGUCUGAGAGGACGACCAGUCACACUGGGACUGAGACACGGCCCAGACUCCUACGGGAGGCAGCAGUGGGGAAUUUUGGACAAUGGGGGCAACCCUGAUCCAGCCAUUCCGCGUGAGUGAAGAAGGCCUUCGGGUUGUAAAGCUCUUUCGGCAGGAACGAAACGGCGAGCUCUAACAUAGCUCGCUAAUGACGGUACCUGAAGAAGAAGCACCGGCUAACUACGUGCCAGCAGCCGCCGUAAAAC
rnacentral:rRNA from 1 species